rnacentral:lncRNA from 1 species
CCGUACUUAUUAAUUGGUUGCACCAAUUUGAUGGUUCUUUGCAAUUUCAUCAACUUGCUCUUUUGACCCCUGCGCUAAUUGCUUGGGAGCUUUGGCUUGAACGCAAUGAGGCUAGAUUUAAUGAAGGUUUGGUCAAUGGACAUAAAAUUUGCUCCAAAGUGAAACACUGGUUGGUUCAAUUAAAUUCAUUACUGCGACCAUCACUU